rnacentral:lncRNA from 1 species
AUGCACAAAUAUACAUAUAUGUGUAUCUUUUUAAAGUUAUUUAAAAAACUUUUAAUGUGAUUUUAGACUUACAGAAGAGUUGUAAAAUAGAGGUCCUGUCUACUCUUAUCGAGUAUUGUGCAUCUUACAUCAGCCAUACAGCAUUCGUUAAAUUAAGAAACUGACCUUGGGGCCGGGGAUUUAGCUCAGUGGUUCUGUCACCUGCCUCGAAAGUGCAAGGACCCGAGUUCAAUCCCCGGUACCAAAAAAAAACCAAACUGACCUUGCUACAAUACGACACCGCUAACUAGAGAGGUGACGUUAGAGAUUUUAUUAGUCUUUUUACUAAUGUCUCUUAUCGUUCCAGGAUCCAAUCUGGUCUCAUCUUGCCUUUUCUUGUCACAUCUCUGGUGUCUUCUGGUCUGUGACAUUGUGUCCUAAUGGGCUAUCUGAUGCUGUAUUUCUGGUGAUGUGAAACUAGUCACUAUGCUAAUGUGGUGUCUGCUAGGAUACUCUACUGUAAACUUACUGUUUUCCUUUGUAAUUACUAAAUAUUUGCUAGAGAUACUUUGAGACUAUGCAAAUAUCCUAUUUCUACUUAAACUUUUGCCAAUUCCUUGUACUAUCCAUUGGCAGACCUUGCUUGUGGCAGUUACUACUGUUGUGGUCUAUUUGUGAUUUUCUCUUUUUCUCAUUUCUUCUAUAUUUAAUAAUUGGAAUUCUUCUGUAAGGAAGAGUUGUCACAACUGAAUUUAUAUUUUUAGUUAUAAUAAGAUAUUCAGGGUAGCUACAAACUUAGAAUUUAAAGAUGUAAACCGUGUUAAAAUGAUUCUAAAUACCACUAUCAAAGAACUGAGUUGGUAACCUGUCUCAGAAAAUAUAAUUAAUUUAAAAAGGAAAAUAGUUUUUAUGAUUUCUAGAAUUGAUUUGACUUUUUUUUUUUUUUUGGUACUGAGGAUCGAACUUUGGUCCUUGCGCUUGCGAGACAGGCAGCAGAACCACUGAGCUAAAUCCCCGGCCCUGUUUUGACUUUUUACUGAGUGUUGACUUUAGAAUGAAAUUAAAAAUUAUUUUUGAAAUUUUACAUUUUUUUUUCUGGUACUGGAGAUCUAACUCAGGACCUUGCGCUUGUGAGGCAGGCAGCGAAACCACUGAGCUAAAUCCCGGGCCCUACAUUGAGACUUUUAGAAAGUAUCUAAAUUUAUAUUACUUUUGGGAUAAUUUUUGUUAAAAUCUUUAAUAAAGUUACCCAGACCUAGCAUGAUAAACACAGCUACGUUUUCUUCAUAUUAAAUCCUUAUUGACCCAAAUAUAAAUGUCAAUAUAAACAUUUAAACAAGUGAACCUAAAGGAGGUAUCUACGGCAUAGGUUAUAUCUAUGGGUUGUGUGUAUAUGCUGGUGCAGAAUUCUUUUAAAUGUUCUGAAAAAUGAGGUUUGUCUAACUAAUGUAAAUAAUACUGCUUAAGCUAAGCAUAAAUUGAGUAAUAUAGAUUAAUUGGCAUUUUAAAAAAUGUUUUGAGGAAAUGGAGCCUUUUUUCUUUCCUAAAAAGAUAUGAGUUUACUAUAAUUCUAGAAGUUUAACCAGUCAAUUCUGAAAAAAGGCAGUAUUCUCUGAUCCCACCUCUAUUUUUCUU